rnacentral:lncRNA from 1 species
GUUUUUAGGGCUUUACCCACAGCAUAUGAAGGUUCCCAGGCUAGGAGUCGAAUUGGAGCUGUAGCUGCUGGCCUACACCCCAGCCCCAUCCACGUGGGAUCCAAGCCACGUCUGCGACCUACACCGCAGCUCAUGGAAACACCAGAUCCUCAGCCCACUGAGUGAGGCCAGGGAUUGAACCUCCGUCCUCACAUCCAGUGCCUGUUGAACAGUACAAGAUUCAUCCUGGGUGACGUACUGGAAGCAAACUCAUGAAACCUGCUAAAGUGUAUUAAUCAACUCAAAGCCGCUGUUGAGAUUGUCCCGCUUGGGAUUCUACUAGUUUGACCUGCAAUAACGAGACUUGUCCAAGAGCCGGGCACUUGAAAAUUGAUGAUAACUAUCCCGUUGUGUCACAAUCAGUGACCAAAAAUCAGUCAUCAUCCAGAGAAGCUGGACAGAUGACCUUAAUAUAUAAAGAGAAAGUUCAUAUUGGAGCAAAAAAUAAGAAGUAUAUGCUCCAGGACCUGUGUGAAUCACAGCUGCCAGAAAACCAAGAAAGCAGAAAAGAUUCUCCUGAAAAAUAUCCUCAUUUGAAGGUAGCAUGUUUUAUACAUUCAUCUUGAAUUAUUUACUCCACACUGUAUCAUCUGUACAUUAUGGAUUAAUCAAAUCUUUUCCAAACCCAUUCAGUCUACUGUUGUGGUGAAAAUGUCUGUUCAUCAUAAAACAGUUGGCACGAAGGCUUUGCAAAUGUCCAGAGCAGGUACAUUUUGCAAUAUAACUUUAACUCUGAAAAGGAUGCUAAAAUAUUUGGAAUGCUCACAGUCUUCUUACUCCCUUUUGUUUUCUUAGCAAAUUUAGUUGAAGGAUUUGACAUACCUAAGGUAGAUGUUAUUGUUGGUAUAGGUGCUUUGAAAGGUAUGAAUAUGCUAAAGAGAUUUUAUAAUUUAUUUAGUUAGUUUCUGAUUGAUGUUAUUAAAAGGAGACCAACAACAGGAUGCACUUUAGUAUACUUUUGGUUGAGGUGACUUGCUUUUUUAUAUAUUUUUGUUUAUCGUGGUCCUUUUACAGUGAUCUCUCAAAUCAUGCUGUACCACAAGUGACCCAGCCCCCCCCCCCCCACACACAUUCUUCAUCUCAGAUUUUCUUCUAACAUCGUCUGUCAAAAUUGAUUGGAUAUAGUCCCUUGUGCUAUACAGGAAGACCCCAUUGCAUAUCCAUUCUAACUGUGAUAGUUUGC